rnacentral:rRNA from 1 species
ACUCCUACGGGAGGCAGCAGUGGGGAAUAUUGCACAAUGGGCGCAAGCCUGAUGCAGCCAUGCCGCGUGUAUGAAGAAGGCCUUCGGUUGUAAAGUACUUUCAGCAGUGAGGAAGGCAGGUACGUUAAUAGCGUGCUUGUUUGACGUUAGCUGCAGAAGAAGCACCGGCUAACUCCGUGCCAGCAGCCGCGGUAAUACGGAGGGUGCGAGCGUUAAUCGGAAUUACUGGGCGUAAAGCGCAUGCAGGUGGUUUGUUAAGUCAGAUGUGAAAGCCCGGGGCUCAACCUCGGAAUUGCAUUUGAAACUGGCAGACUAGAGUACUGUAGAGGGGGUAGAAUUUCAGGUGUAGCGGUGAAAUGCGUAGAGAUCUGAAGGAAUACCGGUGGCGAAGGCGGCCCCCUGGACAGAUACUGACACUCAGAUGCGAAAGCGUGGGGAGCAAACAGGAUUAGAUACCCUGGUAGGAUAGCG